UUUUUUUACAGAAUUCUAUUCAAAAGAUUUGAAAAAAAUACUUGGAAGUAAUAUUAAUUUAGCAGUGGAAUGAUCUGAGUGGAAUUGAGAAUCAUGGCAUGUUCACAAUCUGCUGAAUCUCAAAAAGUAAAAGUCGAAAUAAAUUUGAACAUAGCUCAAGCAAAAAUCAGUAUUGAAGUGGACAUAGCACGUCGCCUAGCAUCAGCUGGACAAUACCGGGGACAAGAAAUUCAACCAUCCUGUGAUUUAGUACUACAAACCAUAACUGAACCACGUGGUUACCAAAGAAUGUCCAGAUUUAUAUGGAAAGGAUCGGAUCCGUGUGAUCCUAGAAACAUGGACGUCAAGCUAAGGAAUACUGACGAUGAGGAGUUCGGUAUACCAGCAUCUGAUUGAUGGAAGUUGUCAGUCUCAAUCAAUGAAGAGCUUAUGAAGGAUACUGGACUUUGGUUUAAUUCUGUAUCAUGCAAGAUUUUAGAGACCAAGCUAUUACGCAUUCAAUCCACAUUAAUUUCAGCAUACCUCAUAUCUUUUUUCAAAAAACAUUCUUAAUAUGUCUAAUGU